rnacentral:misc_RNA from 1 species
AAGCAAGUAAAGGAAAAAAGAAAGUCGGUUGGUUGUCAAGAAAAGCCAGUAAAGAAAAGAAGACAGUCAGUUUCUUGUCUAUAAAAACCAGUAAAGGAAAGAAGACAGUCAGUUGCUUGACAAGAAAAGCCAGUAAAGGAACGACAGUCAGUUGCUUGGCAAGAAAAGCCAGUAAAGGAAAGAAGAUAGUCAGUUGCUUGUCAAGAAAAGCCAGUAAAGGAAAGAAGACAGUCAGUUUCUUGUCUAUAAAAACCAGUAAAGGAAAGAAGACAGUCAGUUGCUUGACAAGAAAAGCCAGUAAAGGAAAGACAACAGUCAGUUGCUUGUCUAGAAAAGCCAGUAAAGGAAAGAAGAUAGUCAGUUGCUUGUCAAGAAAAGCCAGUAAGGGAAAGAAGACAGUCGGCUGCUUGUCAAGAAAUACCACUAAACAAAAGAAGACA